GACGAACGCUGGCGGCGUGCUUAACACAUGCAAGUCGAACGAUGAAGCUGGAGCUUGCUCCGGUGGAUUAGUGGCGAACGGGUGAGUAACACGUGAGCAAUCUGCCCUUGACUCUGGGAUAACUGCGGGAAACUGUAGCUAAUACCGGAUACGAGGCUCGAAGGCAUCUUCGGGUCUGGAAAGAAUUUCGGUCAAGGAUGAGCUCGCGGCCUAUCCGCUUGUUGGUGGGGUAAUGGCUAACCAAGGCGACGACGGGUAGCCGGCCUGAGAGGGUGACCGGCCACACUGGGACGAAAACACGGCCCGGACGCCUACGGUAGGCAGCAGUGGGGAAUAUUGCACAAUGGGCGAAAGCCUGAUGCAGCAACGUAGCGUGAGAGAUGAAGGCCUUCGGGUUGUAAACCUCUUUUAGCAGGGAAGAAGCGAAAGUGACGGUACCUGCAGAAAAAGCACCGGCUAACUACGUGCCAGCCGCCGCAGUAA
rnacentral:rRNA from 1 species